CCCAAGUCAAGAACCUAAAGUCUUUGUUAAUCUUGUGUGGUUUAUUUUAUAUAUAGGUUCAUUUAUAUGUUUACGAGUUAAGUUUUGCGUCCAUAUUUCGCUUAAUAAGAAUAAAUUGUUGUUUAGAGGUCAGCUAAAACCCGCCAUUGGGUGUAGGAUUUUUUCGCUGCGUUGAAGAUCCAUUGGUGGCAUUGGACUGUUUUCCUCUCUUUGUCUGGUUGUUAUCUCUUUGACACAUUCCUGGUUUUCAUUCUCCGUCAAUUCUUUUAGUAUAAUAUUGAAUUACAUUUUUGAAUUUUUUUUCACAUUCUUUUUAAAUUCUUCAUGUUAGGAUAAUAUUAAGAAAAAUAUUUAAUAAACAGUAUCAUAAGAUUAAAACACAAAUAAACUUUUGCAUCAUUGAUGGUCA
rnacentral:lncRNA from 1 species